rnacentral:rRNA from 1 species
UACGGAGGGUGCGAGCGUUGUCCGGAAUCACUGGGCGUAAAGGGCGCGUAGGUGGCGCGGAAAGUCAACGGUGAAAGCUUGGGGCUCAACCCCGAGUCGGCCGUCGAUACUUCUGGGCUUGAGCACUGUAGAGGCAGGUGGAAUUCCGGGUGUAGCGGUGGAAUGCGUAGAGAUCAGGAGGAACACCGGUGGCGAAGGCGGGUCUCUGGGCAGUAACUGACGCUGAGGAGCGAAAGCGUGGGGAGCGAACAGG